CUUGUCUCAGAGACAAGAAGCAGCAAACCAAGCUCCAAACACUCAACAUAGCCACAUCCAUCUUGUUAAAAGAAACCUGACACUAUCCUCUGAGAAGACCCAGAAAAAUGGGACAAAAGGAUUCCAGGGGGCCACCUCCUGGGAAACACGUGGACGAGGAAGACGAGGGGCUGAGACCGUAGCUUCACUGCUGGAGCUGGUGCCAGGGCGCCGUUGUCACUCCUGUCCCACCCUUGGUGCCCACUCUAGACUCCUCCUGCACUCA